GUAACCAAUAUUCAUAAACAGAAAAAGAUAAAAACAAUAUACUUAAGAACAAGUUAAAGACAACAUCAGUUUAAGAUUAUCAUCUAUUAAUUCCACUGCAGAAAACUUAACCAGUUUGCAAAAAGAUGUAUAGCAUACCGUACAGCUUUUGCAAUACAUUAAACCUAUGAUGUGCAGAGGUCUUUGGAAAAUCUUUUUAUUCUCCGUUUUUUGACCCAUUUUAAGGGAGUGACAAAAAGGCAAAUAAAUGAAUGCUUGUUUUUUGUUUAUCCGUUUGUUUUUUCUUUUCCAAAAACCAUGCAUUUGUAAUCAUAAAAAAAAAAAUCAAGAUGGAAAAAAAAAUUCUGCAGGUUAGGUUUCCUUUUAAAAGCAGUAGUUAAGCGAUAACUUGUGAAAACUUAAAAUAAACCUCCUGUAGUCUGUCAAACAACAUUCAUAACAGAACAGGCCAAAAAUGCAUGACCAAAAUAAUGGAAGAUUUCACUUUAAAACACAUAUACCGUACAAUACAAUCUGUUUCAAUUGAUUGCAAACAACAGGUGAAAAAAAAACAAAAAACCAUGAAUGAAUUUAGCUAGCUUCUAAAAUGUCAAUGUGCAUGCAAGACCUCUCUCACUAUCUUUAUUGUAACUAUAGCCAUGCAGUAUUCCUUUAAGUAAAUCUGGAGGGGGGUAGGAGCCAGUCUGUUACCAUAAUCAACGUUCCGAAAAAGGGGAAUAGAGUACGGCAAAGUAUUACCUAGGAUAUGCUCCCGUCACAAGUAAACCUCCCAGAAUUAGGUGCAUGAAAUGAACUGUCUCUGAUUAACAUUUGUAUCCAGCAUCUCAAAAAAGUAAACAAAUAAAUUUACAUUUAUAUAACAUAUAUCUCAAAUUCACACUCUUUCCAUCAAAUCUGGAUAGUUUCAAGGUCUGAAUAGGAUUAUAUUUAAAGAACAGUUGUUAAGUAUUUGUGCACCAAUGUAAGUGUAGGCAUACUGCAAUUAUGUGCGGCUUUAAUAUUUUAAUGUCAUGCCUUCAUUCUUUUUGAUUUAGACAACUGAAUUCAUCCCUUUAGAGGCAUUACUAAGGUUACCAAAAUAUGGCUGGCAGCCAUCUUACUUUGUGGCAGACAAAUAGGUGUCAGCUACUGUAGCAAUAUUUCUGUGAAAAGGAUACUUAUCACUUCUGUCCCUGUUUGUAGAAUAUUUUACAUGUAACAGUAACAUUAGAUAUUCCUUAUUGUUUAUAUUUAUUCUAGCUACUGCUAUACAUAUUAGCUGGUCACAUCAAGUUGCCAUGUUUUAGUGAUUUUAUUUACGUUAUCAGAAGUCUGUAUUUCUAGCCAACAAAUUAUAGUUGUUACUAUAUUUUAGGUUUGGUCGUUCAUUUUUUGGAAAGUGCCACAUGAUAUAAGAAGCAUGGGUUCUAGACACUAUUAAAAUAGUGUUGUGAUACUGUAUAAUAGAUCCUAUAAUGUUGUUAUGCGAGGUGCAUAGCAACCUCUGAGGGCAAGAUCUGAAUGACUGGCAGACAAUUGGACACCAUUGUAAAGCAACAUAAAUUUAAUUAUCUGUGUUAAUCUUGUGAAUGAAAGCAUAGUGGUUUUAAUGCAGAAAGCAGUGAAUGCUAUCAAAAGCUGCUAAGCUGCUCUUUUGAUGACAUUGAAAAACAAUUUAGGCAGUAAAGCUGCCGCUGACUAUAGAGCUGAUACUCACUUAAAGAGAUACUACAGUCACCAAAACAACCUUAGCUUAGUGAAGCAGUUUUGUUGUAUAGAUCAUGCCCCUGCAGUCUCACUGCUCAAUUCUUUGUCAUUUACGAGUUAAAUCACUUUGCUUUUACCAGCUGUAGUCAUACCUCUCUGCAUGUGACUUGAACAGCUUUCCAAAACACUUCCUGUAAAAUGUCAUCUAAUGUUUAAACUUACUUAUUGCAUAUUCUGUUUAAUUCAGAAUUAAUGCUCUGCUAAUGGCCUUUUAGACCCUACAGGAGCCUACUGUGUGUGAUUAAAGAUCAAUUCAGGUUGCACAAAGAGAGAAAGUUAAAACGAUUUACUGGUAGUUGUAUGUGCACCUCUGUAUCUUCCACUCUGUGUACCAUGCGGUUUCUACUUACCUUAAGUUUAUACACUAAACUGAGAAUAAUGGAGGACUGGCAAACCAUUACAAAUUUAAGAUCUAAACCGAUAACAUGGAAAAAAAAGCUCAAAUCUAAUAUCUGAAAUUUCCUUGCUGAUUCUCUACAAUUCUCUGUAGUGCAUAAACCCCAUCUGUGUCAAACACUCCGUUUGCAUUCCUCAUGCUUUAUCCUUUUGAGUUUGUGUCUUUUAUAUCCUCUGUUUUUCUUACACUGUAGACUUUUUAUCAGUCUCACAAGAAAACAGGGAUGGAAGGAAAAUAUAAUUCAGUGUGGUAGCAGCAACAUGAUGUCUAAAUUUCAAGUGAUACUUUCUAACAGUGGAACAUAAUUCUGCAGUGAUGUCAUCAAAACGCAGCCAGAGAGACACAGCUGUGUUGCCUAAAACUGCUAUGAACACUUUGCAUUCAAUCAAGUGUACACAGCAUUUUAACUUUUUCUGCAUUAUUUUUUUCAUUUGUUUUAUUUUAAUUAAAACUGUAAGACAUGUAUUAACAUAUAUUUCAGAUUUAUGGGAAACGUUAAAAAUAUAUGUUAAUUACAGAGAAGUAUUGAUAAGUUCUUUAAGAAAAUGCUAUGCAUCAACCAAGAUCAGUGGAUGUUUCAUGUAAUACUUGCUAUAUGAGAAUGGGCUUAUUUCAUCACUGUGCACAUAAUGCCUUAUGGUACCAUCUAUGACAUCUGAUAAGUUCACACAUGUCAAGUGAGUGCCGGAGAUGUUUGCUGCAUUUUUUUCAAUGUUGUCAACCUUUCUGGCAAUCACACAGUUAAUAUUUAUCAAGUAGUGAACAUAAAAUGGCUUUGUGAUAUCUGUAGUGCCUUAUGCCUAAAAUCUCAGCGCAUAAUGUAUAAUUGACUCAAUGAUGUUUAGUAACAUAACAUGCUGUAAAGUAGAUACGUGUUAUUUGUGAGUGGGAGAAUGUUACUGUACACUGUCAGCGAAUAAUUAUUUCAUACAGUUCUAUAGAUUCCAUCAAAUUCUCAGUGACGUGGAUUGUAAAUUGUACUCUUCAUAAAACACAAAUGAGACGGUUUAGAGGGUAAAUCCUUAUUGCUUACAUGGUGGUAGCUUAUCAGAACUUUGUAUAUUCCAAAUGUUAUCUAAUCCGCAAAGAAAUUGCUUGGCGUCAUGUAUAAAGAGCAAUCUUGGGGUGGUGUUCUAAAUUGGAGCAAUCAGAAGGAGAGUUUGGUUAAAUUCCAUGAUAAUUUAUCCAAUUUUAGAACUUUUUGGUGUAAAGGAAAGAAAAACUAUGAAAGAAAUGUUAAUUUAUUAGACAAGCUAGUGUAUACAUUGUAGCUGUUAAUAAGAACAAUUCUAGAGCAAAUUUAAAGAAUACAAAGUGGUGCCAUCGGCACGAACAUUCUGUCGGCUUCCAUGGUGAGCGUUACACCUAGAACUUUAAAUGCUUUUCAUACAUAAACAUGAAGAGAGUAUUUAUCAAGACAAAAUAGAUUAUUCAUGGGGGGGGGGGAAGCUAACUAUAAUCAAUCACCAUGGAAACCAACAGAAUGUGUCUCAAAAUGUAGCACUUUGCUCCAAAUUAGCAUUAGUUUGCCUUCAUAAAUCUUCACCCAAAUGUUUUAAUCCCACAUUAGAUAUUUUUUUAAGUACAUUUGAUAAUAGAGUAACUAAUCAUAUUUAUUUAUCUAUUUUAAUAAAAUAUGAAUUAGCUCUGUUUGUUCAUAAUUGUUUUCUCUAUUUUUAACAUUUAGUUGUGCCCAAUUCAAUGCAGUUCUAACUAACUUUGAUAUAUAAAUAUGACAUAUUUCAUGUCUGAACAAAUGUUUUUGAAAUUUGAUUUACUAGAUAGCCAAAUUAUAUUCCAAACUAGAUGGGCAUAUUUAUGAAGACAAAACUGGAGCAAUUCUGAGUUACAGCUCCAGUGUAAAACUGUUGAAAUGUUUCUAAUGCUUGCUCCUCGUAUAGAACCCAUCUUAGAAUUGAUCCAGUUCUCUCUCUCUCUCUCUCUCGAGAGAGAGAGAGAGAGAGAGAGAGAGAGAGAAUUGUUCCACAAAUGUUGAUAGCUAUUCAAAACUAGGAAUAGGCAACAGAGCUUCCAAUUGGCUCAUCUAAUUUUAGCAUAUUGUAUCACCAUCAAUCAAAAUGUCGCCUUCUGAUCACAGUUUUGAACAUGACAUCCUACCCUCAUUAGCAGCUUCUCUAAUAUAUGGUUAAGUAAAUAAUUGCCAUCACAAACACUCCAUCAUGGUAUCUUUCUUCAUUUGUAUAUACUGACUGAGGUCCCUCGUACUUGAACCUUCACCCUUUGCCAUUGAAAGUGAGGUCCACCUCAGACUUGUGAGGUAGGAGUAGAUUUCACAGAGGUAAAGGUGUUAACAGGUUAUCAAGUUAAGGGAUAUCUAUAAUGUACAAUAAUUAUGUUUCUUUUUUUCAGAGACAUCAAUGGUUGUUAAGUAAUAUACUUUUGAUGGUUUAAACCUGUCGUGUUGGCUUGCUCCCUUUUUUUCUUAUGUUUGCAAAUUGUACCAAACCCUGUUAAAGUCAACAGGUCCCACCAUCAUCCCUGAAUUAUAAACCAUCUAAUGUACUGUAUUUCUUCAUGCAGUGAAUUGCACGACAAGAGUGCCACUGUACCUUCUAUUUCUUCUGCUAGCUAAUUCACAUAGUGGUUUGAAAAAAUGAAUACUGUACAUAAUUAUAUUAUUGAUGUAUAUAGUAGACUGUUUUAGCAUACAAAAGUGUACUUCCUUUGAAUAAGGAAAUGGAAAUGAUCUAUACUGCUCAUUAAAAUGUACAAUUUGAUUUUGUACUAUGCUUCUGCCUAAUAGCCACUUGUAUAUUUUGUGUUUUUUUUAUAUUAUGGUUUUUAAUUUCAUUGUAUUUGGGGAAAUGUGUCUUCUGACACGAACUGCUGAUUAGAAUGAAGAUGUGUUGAUCCAAUUUUCCAACCUCUGGUACUCUUCAUGAAUUAAUAAUUUAAAAAUAAAAUUGUGUGUUUGUUUA